GGGGUUGUGGCUCAGUGGUAGAAUGCUUGCCUUGCAUGCAUGGGCACUGAGUUCAUUCCUCAGAACCACA
rnacentral:tRNA from 1 species